AACUGCUAAGAAACAAGGCAUUCAGGUGAAGUGGAAGGCUUUGAAAUAUAGAAAGCCUUGGAAUAUAUGUUAAUAAAGGGCAUCCACAAGAAAGUGCUUACUGAAAUAACAGAAAAAUGGAUCAUAAAAAUGAGUCACUCCUCUAAAAAUGGCCUAGUGGCAAGCUACUUGGCUGUCUGAAUUAAUGAUGCCAAGGUCAAGAAUAUGAGACAGAAAAGGGCUGGUUAGAAAAGGCCACCCUGAAGAACUCAGAAGGCAUCUGAGAAGUCAGAGUGGGUGACCAUGGCUAGUUACCGAUGAGAGCUAGGGUCAAAGAAGAUGAGAGAAGAAACGAAAGCUAGAGAGGACAAGUGGAACGCUACCAAAAUCUUCUGUGUGCCCUGCAUGUGAGAAGGGUCUUGAGAAGGAAUAGACUAUCCAUUAAAAAACGGUCCAUUUGAAGUUAUCUCCUUGAAGGGUUUGCAAAGCAUCUGGACUAUGAUUGACUGCAGGCUGGUGGAAAGAGUAUGUUUUUAAAGUAGCAUACUAUAAAAGGAAUCAGUAAACGACAAGACUCGGACUGAAGAGAGAUGGCAAAUGACAAAGCCACACACAGAAGACAAAUACCUAGAGCCAUCCGAUUCAGCUAUCCCUGACUCGCGUGAUCAAUGGGUCUUCUGAAGAUUUUACACAAAAGGCCGAUGAUUUUCAGUUUUGAGGAGCCAGUGUCUUUCGGGGCUCCUGAAUCAAGAUUAUGAUAUGUACACCAUUCUGUUUUCACACCUUGCCCUGGUUAGCUUUUUGUCAAAUUGACAAAAGUUAGGGUCAUCUGGGAGGAGAUCACCUGAACUGGGAAAAUGCUCCCAGCAGACUGGCCUGCUGGCAAGCCUGUAAUCCAUGAUUGGUAUGAGGGGGCCCUGUUCACCUGGGUGGUGCUACCUCAGGGCAGGUGGUCCCGGGUUCUACAAGCAAUCAGGCUGAGCAAGCCACGAGGGUGCUAGCCAGUAAGCAGCAUCCCCCCUGGCCUUUGUAUCAGCUCCGGGUUCCUGUCUUGUUUGAGUUCCUGCCCUUGCUUCCCCCAGUGAUGGACUGUGCUGUAGAAUCAUAAGCGGAAACAAGCCUUUCCUCCCAAAGCUGGUUUUGGCCAGGGUGUUUAUCACAGCAACAGAAACACUCACUUGGAAUUUGUGCGAGCCCAUGUGUUUUUGGGAGGAUUGUGAUGGCAUUUGAACUUCGGGCUAGAAAAGCCAGUAAGUGCUCAAAGCCUAAUGAGUUGUUUCCUGGGGAGCAAGUGAAGUGUAGCCAAAAUAAAUCCUUUGCUCCCUACGUUGCUUUGGUCAUAGUGUUUCAACACAGUAAUAGAAAACUAAAACAAACAUCGAUCUCCACCUGUCUAACUAGGUGACACAGGCUGGUCAGACCGGGCACUCAUGCGCUCUCUUCUCUCUCUCUCUCUCUCUCUCUCUCUCUCUCUCUCUCUCUCUCUCUCUCUCUCACACACACACACACACACACACACACACACACACACACACAGCUUGGCCCUGUGGAGUAGAGUAAUGGCUGAAGCUGGAGCUGAAGUUGGAGUAUGACUACCACGGUGACAAGCUGUGAUAUAUCAUAUUGCAAGCUGUUUGGGUCAGGCUGAAUUCAUUCCAGAGGCCACAUUUGGCAACUCUAUUCUUAAAUAACAAAAAGUAUUCUAUUUGAAGAACAGAAAGCACAAGGUUGUUUACUACUCAGUAAGUAUUCAGCAUAACAGGGGUCAGGCUAGGUUAGCCACAUAAAUGAACACAGAGGGAGCAGCAACAGACACUGUGCAUGGUGGCAUCCUACUGUAACCCCAACUCCUGGGUGGGCACAGCAGGAGGAGUGCUGUGAAUUUGAGGCCCAGCCUGGGCUGCAUGGUGAGUUCAUCAGUCAGCACUUUAGAGACUCUGCCUCAAAAAAAAUCUCAAACUAAACAAAACCAAGCGAUAGACAAUAUACAAACAUCAAUUUAUCAAACACCCAUGUAGACUACCAUACCUUCCCAGCCUUGAUGACAAAUUAUUUCUGGGGGAGUCCUUGCCUAGUUUGUACAAGGCCCUAGGUUUGAUCUCCAGUACACAGACAAAAAAAAUGAUCAUAUUUCUUUAGACUUCCUUCCUAUCAAACUAUGUAUGAUUAUCCAUUUAAUGUGUUGCUUCCUCCGCCAGAAGGACGGCUCUGCACCAGCAGGGGCCGUGCGUUGGUUCAACGUCUUGACUGUUGAUCAUGGAGCACAAAGUGAUACUGUUUUCGUAGGGCUUCUACUGCGGUGAUAAAACACCAUGACCGAAAAGCAACCUUGGGAGGAAAGGGUUGAUUUCGGCUUAUGUGUCCUAACCACAGUCCAUCGUGAAGGGAAGUCAUGGCAGGAGCUCAAGGCAGGACUGAAGCAAGGCCAAGGUGGAUUGCUGCUUACUGGCUUACUCCUUUUUACUAAUGUUUAUUUACACGUAUGAUCAUGUAUCUGUGUGUAUGCCACGCAUGUGUCUCUGGAGGGUGGCGGAUCCCCUGGUGUUGGAGUAACAGGAGGUUGUGAGCUAUCUGAUAUCGGGGCUAGGAAUUGAACUGGGGUCCCCUGAAAGUGCAGCAACCACUCUUCACUAUUGAGCCACCUCUCAGCCUCUUGGGGAGCUGUUUCUUUCUUUCAGUGUUGGGGACUGAACCCAGGGUUUUGAACAUAACAGCAAAACGCUCUAUCAUUGAGUUACAUCCCUAGUCCUUCAGUCCUUUUUCUUAUCUAUUUUUGAAACAUGGUCUUACCAUGCCACCUUGGCUGGUCUGGAACUUGCUAUGUAGACCAUGUUGGCCUCGAACUUACAGAGAUCCAAGUGCCUCUACCUCCUAGAGCUUGGAGACGAGAGAGACAGAGAGAGAGAGACAGAGAGACAGAGACAGAGAGAGACAAAGACAGAGGUGGGAGAGAGAAAGAGCCCACCACACCUUGUGCAUAUUACUCUCUUAAUAGCAAGUUGAGUGGCAGAAUCCUUGCCUAGCAUAUGCAAGGGUCAAUUCCUAGUUCCACAAAAACAAAACAAAACAAAACAAAA